rnacentral:rRNA from 1 species
UACGUAGGGGGCAAGCGUUGUCCGGAAUCAUUGGGCGUAAAGCGCGUGUAGGCGGCUCGGUAAGUCUGCUGUGAAAGUCCAGGCUCAACCCUGGGAUGCCGGUGGAUACUGUCGAGCUCGAGUCCGGGAAGAGGCGAGUGGAAUUCCUGGUGUAGCGGUGAAAUGCGCAGGAUACAGGAGGAACACCGAUGGCGAAGGCAGGCUCUGGGAC